rnacentral:misc_RNA from 1 species
CUGGUCCUGCCCCUCCCUGCUUUCUUCCUCCUCCCUUCCCCACUCCUCCUCCUCCCCCCUGGAAAAAGAGGAACUGGGACACGAACCGUGCGCCGCGCAUUCAGACGACCGAGCGCUGCUGACCGAAUAGCGCGCACACACAGCGUACCCCCAUCACGCCCGUUGCUACCGUCACACUACUACUACUACGCCACCUUCAUUCAACGUUCGUUCACUUCACCGGAUCCAUGGCCAUUGGAUCUCUCGGCGGCAUAGGAUAGCUUGAUUAGAUUUUCUCGUGCAGUUGGAAAAGUAGAGACGGCGCACUAGGAAGCGAGUGAAAACAAGCGGCCAUCAAACCACCAAGUAAAGAAAAGAGACUCACGGUGCAGACGCGGCUCUAGUGGUAGACUAGACGCACUCACAGACUCGGCGUACCAUCUUGCGACAUUCCAGUCCACAGAUUUAUGACGACAACCAGUCGGGACCAGUAAAAGAAAGAAAGAAGAAGGUUGAAGCUGCUGCUUACAUCCGUUUUUGUGUCGUCCAGCCGGCGUAGGACGUGUAGUACGUCUCAUUUCUUUCUAAAUCCGUGUCCGUCCCGUGUGUAUGUGUUCUCGAGUGCUUGGUGUCAGUUUCGUGAGUGCUUCAACUAGCAGUGUUCCUUCGUGUGAGUCACUCCUAAUAGUAGAUUCCAAACAAGUGGUGGGCGGUGUCGGCUUUUUGUAAAAGGCGGACAUUGUGCGGACAGUGCGUCAUCAUUACCCAUUGCAAUAUCCAGCCGGCCAGCCAGCCAGCCAGUCGCCGCCAUGGACAGCGAGUUAUCCAAUUUGGUGGAGUUUUACAGAGGCAGGAGCGUGUUCGUUACGGGCGGCACGGGAUUCUUGGGCAAAGUGCUAGUGGAGAAAUUGCUGCGUUCCUGUCCGGAUAUCAAGGCCGUUUAUUUGCUCAUCCGGCCGAAAAAGGGCCAGGAAGUCCGCAGCCGGAUUGAGGAAUUCAACCAACACAUCGUUUUCGAGAAUUUACGGCGUGAUCGACCCCAGGCCAUGGAUAAAGUGAUCCCUGUGGCCGGAGAUGUGACUCUGGAAGGCUUUGGAAUUUCGCCAGAGGAUUUGAAACUUCUCUGUGAUGAAGUUUCUAUCGUCUUUAAUUCAGCGGCCACCGUCCGCUUUGACGAGGAUUUGCGGACAGCCGUUGACCUCAACGUCAAAGGACCACAAAGGCUCAUGAACGUCUGUCAUCAAAUGAAGCGUCUGGAGGCUCUCGUCCACGUUUCAACGGCUUACAACAAUCUGGACAAGGAGAGCAUUGAGGAAGUCAUUUACCCGACGCCUAUUACGCCUCGCAAGCUGCUUGAAAUCGUCGACUGUCUGGACGCCGACAUGCUGACGAGCAUUACUAGCCAGCUUGUUGGCAAAUGUCCUAAUACGUACGCUUAUACCAAAGCCAUCGCCGAACAGUUGCUGCGUGAAGAACACGGUGACAUUCCGCUAGCCAUUGUCAGACCGUCAACCGUAACGGCCGCUCUGUUUGAGCCCAUGCCCGGUUGGAUAGAUAACAUCAAUGGCCCAACUGGCAUCAUCGCUGGAGUAGGCAAGGGUUUCCUGCGAGUCGUUCGAUCCCAACCGGAACUAGUUGGCGAUUUGAUCCCCGUGGAAUUCCCUAUUCACUUGAUGCUAGCCGUGGCUUGGUACACAGCCACCCACAAGUCGAAGGAAGUAAAAGUCUACAAUUGCUCAACGGGUGACCAUAACCCACUGACCUGGGGAGAUUUCCGAACAAUUGCAUUCGAAGCAUGGAUGAAAGACCCAGGCGGUGAUAUCAUGUGGUAUCCUAGUAUCAGCUUCAUCAGUAACCAGUGGAAUUACCUCAUCGCAGCCUACAUCUUCCACUACAUUCCGGCAUACAUAAUCGACUUUCUCGGUCGACUGCUCGGCAAACAGCCGAAACUUGUUCGCUUUUACAGCAAAGCCGACAAGGCGAUGGCUUGCCUCAAUUUUUACACGAUCCGACAGUGGCGAUUCAUCAGCGAUAAUGCCAUCCGCCUGCUGGAGAAGAUGUCACCAGCGGAUCGUGAGACUUUCUACUUUGACGUGCGUGAUAUCAACUGGAAACAGUACAUCACCAACUACGUUGCAGGCACCAAAAAGUACAUUCUAAAGGAUUACACACCUACAGACAAGGCGAAAGACAUCAUCAAAAGGUUCUAUUGGCUGCAGAAGGCGACUCAUGGAAUCCUUUUGCUCAUCGUGGUCUUUAUUGGCUUGCGUUUGUUCAGUUGGAUAUUUGGCGGCGCACUGCUGGCCACGUAGCCGCUCAUCGCAAUCAUUCAGCGCUUUCCGCAGCUACCAUGAUCAACUCCGACUAUCAUUUAUAUAAAUAUUUUUUUUUUGUCUUGUCAUUUAAUCUUUUUGAUCUUGUAGAAAGUAGAACCUCUUCACCAAUUGAUGAAGAAAGUGAAAAAAAAAUGAAAAAGAAAAAUGAGAAAAUUAACAAAAAAAUUAUUGUAACAAUUUAAAAAAAAACAGUAGUGGCAAAGAAGGAAAUUUAUAGUUCAAUGGCGAAAGCAAAUUACAGAGCAAUGGAAACCAAUAUGUGCAAUUUUGGCUCGUGUGGAUGGAGAAAAAUCAAGACAAACAACAAAAUAUUGUAAUGCCGAACGAAUUCUAUAUUUGUUAUUCAAUUUAUUUUAUUUUUUUUUUUUUUUUUUAAAUAUUUGAAUUUGAAUUUCGGCCGUUUCUGCUAAGUGUCAGGAAUCCGUCUAAUUGCUUAGCGGUAUUCUCCCAUGUUCCAUAUGCACAACAAUCUUGUACGAUUACAUCUUCUACCUUUAUUCCUCUUGCAGCUCGUGUCUUAAGAAGGCGGCUGCCAUUGCAAAACAAAAACUAACCGCAAUAAAAUAUUCAUAUUAUUCAUUAAUUGAUAUGCACCUCCGUCUGCUCAUCCACAAUAAAUAAACGACAAAUAUUCUUGUCUAGUACUGCA